rnacentral:rRNA from 1 species
GACGAACGCUGGCGCCAUUCCUAACACAUGCAAGUCGAACGGGGAUAGCAAUAUCCUACUGGCGAACGGGUGAGUAACACGUGAGCAACCUGCCUCAUACAACGGGAUACCUACGGGAAACUGUAGUUAAUACGGUAUAAGACCACACUCUGGCAUCGGAGAGGGGUAAAAGAUUUUAUCGGUAUGAGAUGGGCUCGCGGCGCAUUAGCUAGUUGGUACGGUAACGGCGUACCAAGGCGACGAUGCGUAGCCGACCUGAGAGGGUGAUCGGCCACAUUGGGACUGAGAUACGGCCCAAACUCCUACGGGAGGCAGCAGUGGGGAAUAUUGGGCAAUGGGCGAAAGCCUUACCCAGCAAUGCCGCGUGAAUGAAGAAGGUCUUCGGAUUGUAAAGUUCUUUAGUCAGGGACGAAGAAAGUGACGGUACCUGAAGAAUAAGCCCCGGCUAACUACGUGCCAGCAGCCGCGGUAAUACGUAGGGGGCAAGCGUUGUCCGGAAUGACUGGGCGUAAAGGGUGUGUAGGCGGUCUGGCAAGUUAGAAGUGAAAUACCUAGGGCUUAACUCAGGUGCUGCUUCUAAGACUGUUAGACUUGAGUGCAGGAGAGGUAAAUGGAAUUCCUAGUGUAGCGGUGGAAUGCGUAGAUAUUAGGAGGAACACCAGAGGCGAAGGCGAUUUACUGGACUGUAACUGACGCUGAGACACGAAAGUGUGGGGAGCAAACAGG